rnacentral:rRNA from 1 species
GAUGAACGCUAGCGGCAGGCUUAACACAUGCAAGUCGAGGGGUAACAGGGGUAGCAAUAUCUGCUGACGACCGGCGCACGGGUGAGUAACGCGUAUGCAACCUACCUUUUACAGGGGGAUAGCCCAUGGAAACGUGGAUUAAUACCCUAUAAAAUUAUGAAAUGGCAUCAUCUUAUAAUUAAAACUGAGGUGGUAAAAGAUGGGCAUGCGUCCUAUUAGUUAGUUGGUGAGGUAACGGCUCACCAAGACGAUGAUAGGUAGGGGGUCUUAAAGGAUAAUCCCCCACACUGGUACUGAGACACGGACCAGACUCCUACGGGAGGCAGCAGUGAGGAAUAUUGGUCAAUGGUCGAGAGACUGAACCAGCCAUGCCGCGUGCAGGAUGAAGGCCCUAUGGGUCGUAAACUGCUUUUGUAUGAGAAGAAACCUGGUUACGUGUAGCCAGCUGACAGUACCAUACGAAUAAGCAUCGGCUAACUCCGUGCCAGCAGCCGCGGUAAUACGGAGGAUGCAGGCGUUAUCCGGAUUUAUUAGGUUUAAAGGGUGUGUAGGCGGAAGUCUAAGUCAGUGGUGAAAUCCCCCAGCUUAACUGGGGAACUGCCAUAGAUACUGGAUUUCUUGAGUACAGUUGAAGUAGGCGGAAUGUGUAAUGUAGCGGUGAAAUGCAUAGAUAUUACACAGAACACCGAUUGCGAAGGCA